rnacentral:rRNA from 1 species
AGAGUUUGAUCAUGGCUCAGGAUGAACGCUAGCGGCAGGCUUAAUACAUGCAAGUCGAGGGGCAGCGCAGUAGCAAUAUGGGCGGCGACCGGCAAACGGGUGCGGAACACGUACACAACCUUCCUCUCGGUGGGGGACAGCCCAGGGAAACUUGGAUUAAUACCCCAUAACAUAUUUGAGAGGCAUUUUUCAGAUAUUAAAGAUUUAUCGCCGGGAGAUGGGUGUGCGUAUGAUUAGGUAGUUGGCGGGGUAACGGCCCACCAAGCCUCCGAUCAUUAACUGGUGUGAGAGCACGACCAGUCACACGGGCACUGAGACACGGGCCCGACUCCUACGGGAGGCAGCAGUAAGGAAUAUUGGUCAAUGGGCGGGAGCCUGAACCAGCCAUGCCGCGUGGAGGAUGACGGCCCUCUGGGUUGUAAACUUCUUUUAUCUGGGACGAAAAAAGCCUUUUCUAAGGAGCUUGACGGUACCAGGUGAAUAAGCACCGGCUAACUCCGUGCCAGCAGCCGCGGUAAUACGGAGGGUGCGAGCGUUAUCCGGAUUUACUGGGUUUAAAGGGGGCGCAGGCGGGCCUGUAAGUCAGUGGUGAAAUACUUGGGCUCAACCCGGGAACUGCCAUUGAUACUAUGGGCCUUGAGUGACGUUGAGGUUUGCGGAAUGGGUCAUGUAGCGGUGAAAUGCAUAGAUAUGACCCGGAACACCUAUUGCGAAGGCAGCAGGCUAAACGUAUACUGACGCUGAGGCCCGAAAGCGUGGGGAUCAAACAGGAUUAGAUACCCUGGUAGUCCACGCCCUAAACUAUGGAUACUCGACAUAUGCGAUACACUGUAUGUGUCUGAGCGAAAGCAUUAAGUAUCCCACCUGGGAAGUACGGCCGCAAGGCUGAAACUCAAAUGAAUUGACGG